rnacentral:rRNA from 1 species
GAUGAACGCUGGCGGCGUGCUUAACACAUGCAAGUCGAACGAAGCACUUUAUUUGAUUUCCUUCGGGACUGAUUAUUUUGUGACUGAGUGGCGGACGGGUGAGUAACGCGUGGGUAACCUGCCUUGUACAGGGGGAUAACAGUUGGAAACGGCUGCUAAUACCGCAUAAGCGCACGGCAUCGCAUGAUGCAGUGUGAAAAACUCCGGUGGUAUAAGAUGGACCCGCGUUGGAUUAGCUAGUUGGUGAGGUAACGGCCCACCAAGGCGACGAUCCAUAGCCGACCUGAGAGGGUGACCGGCCACAUUGGGACUGAGACGCGGCCCAAACUCCUACGGGAGGCAGCAGUGGGGAAUAUUGCACAAUGGGCGAAAGCCUGAUGCAGCGACGCCGCGUGAGCGAAGAAGUAUUUCGGUAUGUAAAGCUCUAUCAGCAGGGAAGAUAAUGACGGUACCUGACUAAGAAGCACCGGCUAAAUACGUG